NNNNNNNCAAGGAUUCCCCUAGUAACUGCGAGUGAAGCGGGAAAAGCUCAAAUUUAAAAUCUGGCGGUCUUNGGCCGUCCGAGUUGUAGUCUAGAGAAGUGCCUUCCGCGCUGGACCGUGUACAAGUCUCCUGGAACGGAGCGUCAUAGAGGGUGAGAAUCCCGUCUUUGACACGGACCGCCAGUGCUAUGUGAUGCGCUCUCUAAGAGUCGAGUUGUUUGGGAAUGCAGCUCAAAAUGGGUGGUGAAUUCCAUCUAAAGCUAAAUAUUGGCGAGAGACCGAUAGCGAACAAGUACCGUGAGGGAAAGAUGAAAAGCACUUUGGAAAGAGAGUUAAACAGUACGUGAAAUUGUUGAAAGGGAAACGCUUGAAGUCAGUCGCGUCGGCCGGGACUCAGCCUUGCAACCUUGCCUGGUGUACUUUCCGGUUGACGGGCCAGCAUCAAUUUUGACCGUCGGACAAGGGCGGGGGAAAUGUGGCACCCUCGGGUGUGUUAUAGUCCCCCGUCGCAUACGUCGGUUGGGAUUGAGGAACUCAGCACGCCUUUACGGUCGGGGUUCGCCCACGUUCGUGCUUAGGAUGCUGGCGUAAUGGCUUUAAACGACCCGUCUUGAAACACGGACCAAGGAGUCUAACAUGCCCGCGAGUGUUUGGGUGUAAAACCCAUGCGCGUAAUGAAAGUGAAAGUUGGGACCUCUGUCGUGGAGGGCACCGACGCCCGGACCAGACCUUCUGUGACGGAUCCGCGGUAGAGCGUGUAUGUUGGGACCCGAAAGAUGGUGAACUAUGCCUGAAUAGGGUGAAGCCAGAGGAAACUCUGGUGGAGGCUCGUAGCGAUUCUGACGUGCAAAUCGAUCGUCAAAUUUGGGUAUAGGGGCGAAAGACUAAUCGAACCNUCUNNNNNNNNNNNNNNNNN
rnacentral:rRNA from 1 species